AGAAUGAUCCCCCAGUUCUGAACUUGCCUGCUCCAUCUGUUCCUAGCCCAAGCGAUCCUGUUACAGCGGCGGCCGAGGGUGCCACUAUCCCUCCUGCCAAUGCCCCUAAUCCUGAUGUUGCUCCGGCUUCCGAUCCCGGCCUCUCUGAUGGGGACCUUAGGGGAGCUAUUCGUAUGUUUACCCAGUUAGUGGCCGCUCAGGCCCAGCGAUCUCAUGAUGUCCCUGUGUCUUCCAGUAGACAUGGAGAUUCCUCCAGCUCUAGAGUUCAUC
rnacentral:lncRNA from 1 species